rnacentral:rRNA from 1 species
AUUGAACGCUGGCGGCAGGCCUAACACAUGCAAGUCGAGCGGUAGCACAGAGAGCUUGCUCUCGGGUGACGAGCGGCGGACGGGUGAGUAAUGUCUGGGAAACUGCCUGAUGGAGGGGGAUAACUACUGGAAACGGUAGCUAAUACCGCAUAACGUCGCAAGACCAAAGUGGGGGACCUUCGGGCCUCAUGCCAUCAGAUGUGCCCAGAUGGGAUUAGCUAGUAGGUGGGGUAAUGGCUCACCUAGGCGACGAUCCCUAGCUGGUCUGAGAGGAUGACCAGCCACACUGGAACUGAGACACGGUCCAGACUCCUACGGGAGGCAGCAGUGGGGAAUAUUGCACAAUGGGCGCAAGCCUGAUGCAGCCAUGCCGCGUGUAUGAAGAAGGCCUUCGGGUUGUAAAGUACUUUCAGCGAGGAGGAAGGCAUUAAGGUUAAUAACCUUAGUGAUUGACGUUACUCGCAGAAGAAGCACCGGCUAACUCCGUGCCAGCCGCCGCGGUAAAAC